AACGAACGCUGGCGGCAGGCCUAACACAUGCAAGUCGAGCGGGCGUAGCAAUACGUCAGCGGCGGACGGGUGAGUAACACGUGGGAAUAUGCCCUUUCGGUUUGGAACAACUCGGGGAAACCCGUGCUAAUUCCGGAUACGCCCUUAGGGGGAAAGGAUUUAUUCGCCGAAAGAUUAGCCCGCGUCCGAUUAGCUAGUUGGUGAGGUAACGGCCCACCAAGGCGACGAUCGGUAGCUGGUUUGAGAGAACGACCAGCCACACUGGGACUGAGACACGGCCCAGACUCCUACGGGAGGCAGCAGUGGGGAAGU
rnacentral:rRNA from 1 species